GAAACUAAGCAUAUCAAUAAGCGGAGGAAAAGAAACCAACAGGGAUUGCCUCAGUAACGGCGAGUGAAGCGGCAACAGCUCAAAUUUGAAAUCUGGCCUCCUUCGGGGUCCGAGUUGUAAUUUGUAGAGGAUGUUUCGGGUACGGCAGCGGUCUAAGUUCCUUGGAACAGGACGUCAUGGAGGGUGAGAAUCCCGUGUGAGACCGUCCGCCACGCCCAUGUGAAACGCCUUCGACGAGUCGAGUUGUUUGGGAAUGCAGCUCAAAAUGGGUGGUAAAUUUCAUCUAAAGCUAAAUACCGGCCAGAGACCGAUAGCGCACAAGUAGAGUGAUCGAAAGAUGAAAAGCACUUUGGAAAGAGAGUUAAAAAGCAUGUGAAAUUGUUGAAAGGGAAGCGCUUGCAACCAGACUUGCUCCCAGGUGUUCACCCGGCGUUCUCGCCGGGGCACUCGCCUGGGAUCAGGCCAGCAUCGGUUUUCGCGGCCAGACAAAGGCUCCGGGAAUGUAGCUCCUCUCGGGGAGUGUUAUAGCCCGGGGUGCAAUGUGGCCCGCGGGGACCGAGGAACGCGCUUCGGCACGGAUGCUGGCGUAAUGGUUGUAAGCGGCCCGUCUUGAAACACGGACCAAGGAGUUGACCAUCUAUGCGAGUGUUUGGGUGUCAAACCCACACGCGAAAUGAAAGUGAACGGAGGUGGGAGCCCUCGGGCGCACCAUCGACCGAUCCUGAUGUCUUCGGAUGGAUUUGAGUAAGAGCAUAGCUGGUCUGACCCGAAAGAUGGUGAACUAUGCCUGAAUAGGGUGAAGCCAGAGGAAACUCUGGUGGAGGCUCGCAGCGGUUCUGACGUGCAAAUCGAUCGUCAAAUUUGGGUAUAGGGGCGAAAGACUAAUCGAACCAUCUAGUAGCUGGUUCCCGUCGAAGUUU
rnacentral:rRNA from 1 species